UGCAAGUCGGUUCAGCUCUUUCUUUCUUUUUUUUUUUUUUUUUUUAUUAACUUGAGUAUUUCUUAUAUACAUUUCGAGUGUUAUUCCCUUUCCCGGUUUCCGGGCAAACAUCCCCCUCCCCCCUCCCCUUCCUUAUGGGUGUUCCCCUCCCAACCCUCCCCCCAUUGCCGCCCUCCCCCCAUAGACUAGUUCACUGUGGGUUCAGUCUUAGCAGGACCCAGGGCUUCCCCUUCCACUGGUGCUCUUACUAGGAUAUUCAUUGCUACCUAUGAGGUCAGAGUCCAGGGUCAGUCCAUGUAUAGUCUUUAGGUAGUGGCUUAGUCCCUGGAAGCUCUGGUUGCUUGGCAUUGUUGUACUUUUGGGGUCUCGAGCCCCUUCAAGCUCUUCCAGUUCUUUCUCUGAUUCCUUCAAUAGGGGACCUAUUCUCAGUUCAGUGGUUUGCUGCUGGCAUUCGCCUCUAUAUUUGCUGUAUUCUGGCUGUGUCUCUCAGGAGCGAUCUACAUCCGGCUCCUGUCGGUCUGCACUUCUUUGCUUCAUCCAUCUUGUCUAAUUGGGUGGCUGUAUAUGUAUGGGCCACAUGUGGGGCAGGCUCUGAAUGGGUGUUCCUUCAGUCUCUGUUUUAAUCUUUGCCUCUCCCUUCCCUGCCAAGGGUAUUCUUUUUCCUCAUUUAAAGAAGGAGUGAAGCAUUCACAUUUUGAUCAUCCGUCUUGAGUUUCGUUUGUUCUAGGGAUCUAGGGUAAUUCAAGCAUUUGGGCUAAUAGCCACUUAUCAAUGAGUGCAUACCAUGUAUGUCUUUCUGUGAUUGGGUUAGCUCACUCAGGAUGAUAUUUUCCAGUUCCAACCAUUUGCCUACGAAUUUCAUAAACUCGUUGUUUUUGAUAGCUGAGUAAUAUUCCAUUGUGUAGAUGUACCACAUUUUCUGUAUCCAUUCCUCUGUUGAAGGGCAUCUGGGUUCUUUCCAGCUUCUGGCUAUUAUAAAUAAGGCUGCGAUGAACAUAGUGGAGCACGUGUCUCUUUUAUAUGUUGAGGCAUCUUUUGGGUAUAUGCCCAAGAGAGGUAUAGCUGGAUCAUCAGGCAGGGUUCAGCUCUUUCAAUACUUCCUCUAAUUACCCUAAAGGAGGUCCUAUUCUCAGUUUAGUUGUUUGCUGCUAACAUUGACCUCUGUAUUGGACAUGCUCUGGAUGUGUCUCUCAGCAGAGAUCUAUAUCCAGUUCUUUUCAGCAUGCACUUUUUAGCUUCAUCAAUCUUAUGUAGUUUUGGUGGCUGUAAAUAUAUGAGUCAAAUGUGGGGCAGGCUCUGAAUGGCCGUUCCUUCAGUCGUUGCUCUAAACUUUGCUUCCAUAUUCCCUCCUAUGACUAUUUUUUCCCCUUUUAAGAAAGAGUGGGAGUAUCUGCAUUUUGGUCAUCCUUCUUCUUGAACUUCCUGUGGUCCUUGGAUUGCAUCUUGGGUAAUUCAAGCUUUUGGGCUAACAUCCACUUAUCAAUUAGUGCAAACCAAGUGUGUUUUACUGUGAUUGGAUUAUCUCACUCACGAUGAUAUUUUCCAGUUCCAUCCAUUUGCCUAUGAAUUUCAUAAAGUCAUUGUUUUUGAUGGCUGAGUAGUAUUCCAUUGUGUAGAUGUACCACACUUUUUGAAUCUAUUCCACUGUUGAAGGGCAUCUGGGUUCCUUCCAGUUCUGACUAUUAUAAUUGGGCUGCUAAUGAACAUAGUGGAGCACGUGUCUUUGUUGUAUGUUGCAGUAUCUUUUGGGUAAAUGACCAGAACAUAUCUUUUUAAACACAAAACAAAAAAGAUUUCUGGAAAUGUUUACUUGUUUGCUUUCUAGAAUAGGGUCGUUUUUUUACAGAUAAGGUUAUCACAAAACUUGCUUUAUUCCGGAGAGCAGGCAGGAUUUGAAUUUGAUAACAUCCUCUCUCAGUCUCCCAAAUGCUGGAAGUACAAGCACGUAGUAGCAAGCCAGCUGAUUAGAAAUAUUUUAUUUCUAGUAAUAUUUUGUUGUACUUAUGAUAACUCAUCUAUUUAUAAGUAUAAUUAUCUUUUUAACAAAGAUACUUCAGUCAAGCUUGUAGGGCAUUUGGACACUCCAGGUUGAGAAGAGGAGAUGGUAACAAUUAUAUUUUGGAGAUGGGGAAAAUUAUAGGAAGAGAAAUUCUAAUUGAUUUGUCUGCUCUUUGAAUUGAGUACACAAACUUGUGCCAGUCCACUUUGAAUUAAUUUUUUCAAAAUAUUACUCCAUUAUUCUCAAGGCUAAAUUACUAGUUUUUUAAAGUUUUAAGAUAAAAUGAAUUGAAAAAUAAAAUUGUGCCCAUUUUUAAAAGGGUACAAUGUGACUGACAGAACCACUAACAUUUUGUCUUAAGGAGAGAAAAAUGCCAAUGUUUGAAAAAAAAAUCUUAAAAAGUUUCAUUUAUGUUCAAACAAACCUGUAUAUAUGGCAGAAUAAAUCAGUAUGGACUCUUGAUAUAACAGGAAAUAUUGUUCAUUAAUGAACUAAUUAUUUUUAAAAUUCUUAAAGUUGUCAAUCCUUAAAACAUUAAGUAUUUUAAUUAUUUCAGAAUGAUGUCAUUUCUAGAAAGCUAAUAUAAAGUCAUUAAAGUUUCAGCAUUAUUAAUUACCAUUAAACUUUACUUCAAAUCAGAAUUUAGAUCUGGCUAUUUUUUAUAAAUAUAAAGGCAUUACUUUACAAUUGUAAUAAACACGUUAUGUGUGUAUUUGUGCACAUCAUUAUUCAUCCCAGCGCACACAAAUUUAAGACUCUAAAUAUGUAUACUAAAUCAUUAAUUGAUUAACUAAUUUUAUUUACCUCUAUCAUUUAAAUCAAUUUCUUUUGUGAGACCAUUAUGUAAGGGGCUUGUGUUUCACUAUUUGUAGUUUGUUUUAGUUUUCUUUAUACAUUAACUUAAUUUCUUGAGAUGUGUAUAUUGACUUGCUAUAUUACAGUGUUAAAAUCAAAAACCAGUCCUAGGUAUGUGAUGCCAUAUACAGUACAUACAAUUUUGUAUACUUGACUCUAAUUCAGAAAUAGUACAUCAUGUAGGUCAUGUGAAAAUUUUAAUUAGGCAUCAUUUUUAUCAGCAGAUAUAUAACAAUAUUUGAUGAUAAUAUAAUGCCAUCAAGAUAUAAAGUACAGCUUUUCAAAUAGCUGCAAAACAUUAAGAAACACUUAAGCUUAUAUGACUUGUUGAUAUUUAAUAAAUAAGAAAGGUGAAAAGACACCUUUAAAAAUGAGCAGAAAUUAAUAGUGGGAAAUAAAGGUUUAAAUAAAUGCUCACAUACUAAUAAAAUAAAACAUUAACAACAUUUCAAAAAUUUCAGCGAAAAAUAACAAGACUUCAAAAUACAGGAAAUUGGAGGACUUUUUUCUUUUCUCGAUAUCAAUUUUCUUUUAUUUUUUAAAUUUGUGUCAUAUAACACAACCCAACCACAGUUUUACCUCUCUCCACUCCUCCCAGCCCUCUGAGCUUCUCUCCUCCACAAAAACAAAUAUUUAAAUCAAGUAUCAAAACUUAUCAUCUAGCUAUGAGUGUUUCAUUUACUUUCCUGUUGAUGUGUUAAAAUGCUAUGACUGAGAAUAGCUAAAAUAUGAAAAGGUAUUGGGACACAAUUUCCGGGGAUGGAGGCAAUCAUGAUGAGUAGGCAUGGCAAUAGUCAGGUGAAGCUUGACAGCAAGAGAAGAACAGUGGAUGGUCACAUUUUUAUUCACACAAAGGAAGCAGAGAGAGAUAAGACAGUGACAGAGAGACACAGAGAGAGAGAGAGAAAGAGAGAGAGAGACAGAGACAGAGACACAGAGAGAGAGACAGAGAGUGAGACAGAGACAUAAACACAGACACAUUGACACAGAGACACACAGAGACAGAGACAGAGACAGAGACAGAGAGACAGACUAGAGCAGACAGUGAGGCAAAGAUCUCAGGUAACUUUUGUUUAAAUACUAGACUAUGGGGACCAUUCUUGUUUUUUUACCAUCAUAUAAAGGAAGUUCAGAAAACAUCUUCUCAACUGACACAUUAAUCACAAUACAAUACUAUAUUUUUAUAUGUAUAUAUUAAUAUGCUGUUUUAAUAUUUGAAAUAGAAUUUAUAGUCUGAACAACAUGGCUCAUAUAUGAUAUAAAAUUUCUUUUUUAUUGGAAUAUUUUAUUUAUUUUCAUUUCAAAUGUUAUUCCCUUUCUUGCUUUCCCCUUUGGAAAUAACCUAUACCAUUCCCCCUCUGCCUGCUUAUAUGAGGAUGCUCCCUUACCCUCCCAUACAAUCCUUCCUCCCUGAGCAGGCAUUCUCCUACACUGGGUCAUUUAGCCUUCACCAGACUAAGUGCCUCUCCUCCCCUUGAUGUCCAAAAAGGCCAUCCUCUGCUACAUAUUCAGCUAGAACCAUGGGUCCCUCCUUGUGUACUCUUUGGUUGGUGGGUUAGUCCCUGGGAGCUCUGGGGAGUCUGGUUGGUUGAUAUUGUUCUUCUUCCUCUGGGGUUGAAGGUGUUUACCUUCAGCUCCUUCAGUACCACCUCUAACUCCUCCAUUUGUGGACCCAGUGCUCAGUCAAAUGGUUGACUGCAAGCAUUCUCCUCUGUAUUUUUCAGGCUACCAGAGCCUCUUCAGAGACAGUUAUAUCAGGCUCCUGUCAGCAAGCACUUCUUGGCAUCCACAAUAGUGUCUGGGUUUGGUGUCUUUGUAAGGGAUGGAUCCACAGGGCAGUCAGAAAAAGACUUUUCCUUUCUUCAAGAACAUGAUCUGUGUAAUAGGUGUGCAUUUACCAUUAUUAUACUAAAGCAAGAUUGAUAAUCUUUAAUAAUUGCAUGAAAUUAUUUUCAAACAAGAUAACUGGCCUCACAUUCACAAAGAUCCUCAUGAGUCAGCUCCCAAAGUGCAGAAAUUCAGGAACGAUCAUUAACAAAUAUGAAGACUCGAGUCCCACACCCGCGGAUCCCUGCCCGCAGCAGCUCUCUCCUCCCAGACCCCGUGGAAAAGAGACCUCACCGACUAGCCAGCUGGGCACUCCUGAAGCUGCAGAGCGGAAAAGACCACCAACACUGCCCACCCCUGCCCACAUCCCUGGCCCAAGAGGAAACUGUUUAAGGCCUCUGGGUUCCCGUAGGGGAGGGCUCAGGAGCAGCAGGACCCCUGCACCUGAGACACUGCCGGAACCUGAAGGAACAGACCGGAUAGACAGUUCUCUGCACCCAAAUCCCGUGGGAGGGAGAGCUAAACCUUCAGAGAGGCAGACACGCCUGGGAAACCAGAAGAGACUGCACACUGCACACAUUACUGAUUCCAGAGGAAAACACCAAACUCCAUCUGGAACCCUGGUGCACUGAAGCUCCCGGAAAGGAAAUGGCAGCGCAGAUCUUCCUGUUGCUGCCUCACAGAGAGCUCGGGGGCAGCACUCCUUGAGCGAACUUGAGCCUCGGGACCACAGGUAAGACCAACUAUUCUGCUGCAAGUGAUCUGCCUGGUAAACACCAGAUACAGGCCCACAGGAACAGCUGAAGACUUGUAGAGAGGAAAAACUACACGCCCGAAAGCAGAACACUCUGUCCACAUAACUGGCUGAAAGAAAACAGGAAAACAGGUCUACAGCACUCCUGACACACAGACUUAUAGGACAGUCUAGCCACUGUCAGAAAUAGCAGAACAAAGUAACACUAGAGAUAAUCUGAUGGCGAAGGGAAGCGCAAGAACCCAAGCAACAGAAACCAAGACUACAUGGCACCAUCAGAGCCCAAUUCUCCCAUCAAAACAAACAUGGAAUAUCCAAACAUGCAGAAAAGCAAGAUCUAGUUUCAAAAUCAUAUUUGAUAAUGAUGCUGGAGGACUUCAAGAAAGACAUGAAGAACUCCCUUAGAGAAACACAGAAAAACAUUAAUAAACAAGUAGAAGCCUACAGAGAGGAAUCACAAAAAUCCCUGAAAGAAUUCCAGGAAAACAUAAAUAAACAGGUAGAAGCCCAUAGAGAGGAGACACUAAAAUCCCUGAAAGAAUUCCAGGAAAACACAAUCAAACAGUUGAAGGAAUUAAAAAUGGAAAUAGAAGCAAUCAAGAAAGAACACAUGGAGACAACCCUGGAUAUAGAAAACCAAAAGAAGAGACAAGGAGCUAUAGAUACAAGUUUCACCAACAGAAUACAAGAGAUGGAAGAGAGAAUCUCAGGAGCAGAAGAUUCCAUAGAAAUCAUUGGCUCAACUGUCAAAGAUAAUGUAAAGCAGAAAAAAAUUCUGGUCCAAAACAUACAGGAAAUCCAGGACUCAGUGAGAAGAUCAAACCAAAGGAUAAUAGGUAUAGAAGAGAGUGAAGACUGCCAGCUCAAAGGACCAGUAAAUAUCUUCAACAAAAUCAUAGAAGAAAACUUCCCUAACCUAAAAAAAGAGAUACCCAUAGGCAUGCAAGAAGCCUACAUAACUCCAAAUAGAUUGGACCAGAAAAGAAACACCUCCUGACACAUAAUUGUCAAAACACCAAACGCACAAAAUAAAGAAAGAAUAUUAAAAGCAGUAAGGGAAAAAGGUCAAGUAACAUAUAAAGGCAGACCUAUCAGAAUCACACCAGACUUUUCGCCAGAAACUAUGAAGGCCAGAAGAUCCUGGACUGAUGUCAUACAGACCCUAAGAGAACACAAAUGCCAGCCCAGGUUACUGUAUCCUGCAAAACUCUCAAUUAACAUAUAUGGAGAAACCAAGAUAUUCCAUGACAAAACCAAAUUUACACAAUAUCUUUCUACAAAUCCAGCACUACAAAGGAUAGUAAAUGGUAAAGCCCAACAUAAGGAGGCAAGAUAUACCCUAGAAGAAGCAAGAAACUAAUCAUCUUGGCAACAAAACAAAGAGAAGAAAAGCACACAAACAUAACCUCACAUCCAAAUAUGAAUAUAACAGGAAGCAAUAAUCAGUAUUCCUUAAUAUCUCUCAACAUCAAUGGCCUCAAAUCCCCAAUAAAAAGACAUAGAUUAACAAACUGGAUACGCAACGAGGACCCUGCAUUCUGCUGCCUACAGGAAACACACCUCAGAGACAAAGACAGACACUACCUCAGAUUGAAAGGCUGGAAAACAACUUUCCAAGCAAAUGGUCGGAAGAAGCAAGCUGAAGUAGCCAUUCUAAUAUCAAAUAAAAUCAAUUUUCAACUAAAAGUCAUCAAAAAAGAUAAGGAAGGACAUUUCAUAUUCAUCAAAGGAAAAAUCCACCAAAAUGAACUCUCAAUCCUAAAUAUCUAUGCCCCAAAUACAAGGGCACCUACAUACGUAAAAGAAACCUUACUAAAGCUAGAAACACACAUUGCACCUCACAUAAUAAUAGUAGGAGAUUUCAAAACCCCACUCUCAUCAAUGGACAGAUCAUGGAAACAGAAAUUAAACAGAGACGUAGACAGACUAAGAGAAGUCAUGAGCCAAAUGGACUUAACAGAUAUUUAUAGAACAUUCUAUCCUUAAGCAAAAGGAUGCACCUUCUCAGCUCCUCAUGAAACUUCUCCAAAAUUGACCAUAUAAUUGGUCAAAAAACGGGCCUCAACAGGUACAGAAAGAUAGAAAUAAUCCCAUGCGUGCUAUCAGAUCACCACGGCCUAAAACUGGUCUUCAAUAAAAGUAAGGGAAGAAUGCCCACAUAUACAUGGAAAUUGAACAAUGCUCUACUCAAUGAUAACCUGGUCAAGGAAGAAAUAAGAAAGAAAUUAAAGACUUUUUAGAAUUUAAUGAAAAUGAAGGUACAACAUACCCAAACUUAUGGGACACAAUGAAAGCUGUGCUAAGAGGAAAACUCAUUGCUCUGAGUGCCUGCAGAAAGAAACAGGAAAGAGCAUAUGUCAGCAGCUUGACAGCACACCUAAAAGCUCUAGAACAAAAAGAAGCAAAUACACCCAGGAGGAGUAGAAGCAGGAAAUAAUCAAACUCAGAGCUGAAAUCAACCAAGUAGAAACAAAAAGGACCAUAAAAAGAAUCAACAGAACCAAAAGUUGGUUCUUUGAGAAAAUAAACAAGAUAGAUAAACACUUAGCCAGACUAACGAGAGGACCCAGAGAGUGUGUCCAAAUUAACAAAAUCAGAAAUGAAAAGGGAGACAUAACUACAGAUUCAGAGGAAAUUCAAAAAAUCAUCAGAUCUUACUAUAAAAGCCUAUAUUCAACAAAACUUGAAAAUCUACAAGAAAUGGACAAUUUCCUAGACAGAUACCAGGUACCAAAGUUAAAUCAGGAACAGAUAAAACAGUUAAACAACCCCAUAACUCCUAAGGAAAUAGAAGCAGUCAUUAAAGUUCUCCCAACCAAAAAGAACCCAGCUCCAGACGGGUUCAGUGCAGAUUUCUAUCAGAACUUCAUAGAAGAACUCAUACCAAUACUAUGCAAACUAUUCCACAAAAUUGAAACAGAUGGAGCACUACCGAAUUCCUUCUAUGAAGCCACAAUUACCCUUAUACCUAAACCACACAAAAACCCAACAAGAAAGAGAACUUCAGACUAAUUUCCCUUAUGAAUAUCGAUGCAAAAAUACUCAAUAAAAUUCUGGCAAACUAAAUUCAAGAUCACAUCAAAACAAUCAUCCACCAUGAUCAAGUAGGCUUCAUCCCAGGCAUGCAGGGAUCGUUUAAUAUAUGGAAAACCAUCAUCGUGAUCCAUUAUAUAAACAAACUGAAAGAACAAAACCUCAUGAUCAUUUCAUUAGAUGCUGAGAAAGCAUUUGACAAUAUUCAACACCCCUUAAUGAUUAAAGUCCUGGAAAGAAUAGGAAUUCAAGGCCCAUACCAAACAUAGUAAAAGUUAUAUACAGCAAACCAGUUGCUAACAUUAAACUAAAUGGAGAGAAACUUGAAGCAAUUCCACUAAAAUCAGGGACUAGACAAGGCUGCCCACUCUCUCCCUACUUAUUCAUUAUAGUUCUUGAAGUUCUAGCCAGAGCAAUCAAACAACAAAAGGAGGUCAAGGGUAUACAGAUCGGAAAAGAAGAAGUCAAAAUAUCACUAUUUGCCGAUGAUAUGAUAGUAUAUUUAAGUGAUCCCGAAAGUUCCAACAGAGAACUACUAAAGCUGAUAAACAACUUCAGCAAAGUGGCUGGAUAUAAAAUUAACUCAAAUAAAUCAGUAGCCUUCCUCUACACAAAAGAGAAACAAGCCGAGAAAGAAAUUAGGGAAACGACACCCUUCAUAAUAGACCCAAAUAAUAUAAAGUACCUCGGUGUGACUUUAACCAAGCCAGUAAAAGAUUUGUGCAAUAAGAACUUCAAGACACUGAAGAAAGAAAUUGAAGAAGACCUCAGAUGAUGGAAAGAUCUCCCAUGCUCAUGGAUUGGCAGGAUUAAUUUAGUAAAAAUGGCCAUUUUACCAAAAGCGAUCUACAGAUUCAAUGCAUUCCCCAUCAAAAUACCAAUCCAAUUCUUCAAAGAGUUAGACAGAACAAUUUGCAAAUUCAUCUGGAAUAACAAAAAACCCAGGAUAGCUAAAACUAUCCUCAACAAUAAAAGGACUUCAGGUGGAAUCACUCUCCCUGAACUCAAGCAGUAUUACAGAGCAAUAGUGAUAAAAACUGCAUAGUAUUGGUACAGAGACAGACAGAUAGACCAAUGGAAAAGAAUUGAAGACCCAGAAAUGAACCCACACACCUAUGGUCACUUGAUUUUUGACAAAGGAGCCAAAACCAUCCAAUGGAAAAAAGAUAGCAUUUUCAGCAAAUGGUGCUGGUUCAACUGGAGGUCAACAUGUAGAGGAAUGCAGAUCGAUCCAUGCUUAUCACCCUGUAAAAGCUUAAGUCCAGGUGGAUCAAGGACCUCCACAUCAAACCAGACACACUCAAACUAAUAGAAGAAAAACUAGGGAAGCAUCUGGAACACAUGGGCACUGGAAAAAAUUUCCUGAACAAAACACCAAUGGCUUAUACUCUAAGAUCAAGAAUCAACAAAUGGGAUCUCAUAAAACUGCAAAACUUCUGUAAGGCAAAGGACACUGUGGCUAGGACAAAACGGCAACCAACAGAUUGGGAAAAGAUCUUUACCAAUCCUACAACAGAUAGAGGCCUUAUAUCCAAAAUAUACGAAGAACUCAAGAAGUUAGACUGCAGGGAGACAAAUAACCCUAUUUAAAAUGGGGUUUAGAGCUAAAUGAAGAAUUCACACCUCAGGAAUGCCGAAUGGCUGAGAAACACCUAAAGAAAUGUUCAACAUCUUUAAUCAUAAGGGAAAUGCAAAUCCAAACAACCCUGAGAUUUCACCUCACACCAUUGUGAAUGGCUAAGAAAAAAACUCAGGUGACAGCAAAUGCUUGCGAGGAUGCGGAGAAAGAGGAACACUCCUCCAUUGUUGGUGGGGUUGCAGACUGGUACAACCAUUCUGGAAAUCAGUCUGGAGGUUCCUCAGAAAAUUGGACAUUGAACUGCCUGAGGAUCCAGCUAUACCUCUCUUGGGCAUAUACCCAAAAGAUUCCUCAACGUACAAAAGAGACACGUGCUCCACUAUGUUCAUCGCUGCCUUAUUUAUAAUAGCCAGAAUCUGGAAAGAACCCAGAUGCCCUUCUACAGAGGAAUGGAUACAGAAAAUGUUGUACAUAUACACAAUGGAAUAUUAUUCAGCUAUCAAGAACAAUGACUUAAUGAAAUUCGUAGGCAAAUGGUUGGAACUGGAAAAUAUCAUCCUGAGUGAGAUAACCCAAUCACAGAAAGACAUACAUGGUAUGCACUCAUUGAUAAGUGGCUAUUAGCCCAAAUGCUUGAAUUACCCUAGAUGCCUAGAACAAAUGAAACUCAAGACGGAUGAUCAAAAUGUGAAUGCUUCACUCCUUCUUUAAAAGGGGAAGAAGAAUACCCUUGGCGGGGAAUAGAGAGGCAAAGAUUAAAACAGAGACUGAAGGAACACCCAUUCAGAGCCUGCCCCACAUGUGGCCCAUAUAUAUACAGCCACCCAAUUAGAC